rnacentral:rRNA from 1 species
CGCGAAUAGCUCAUUACAACAGCUAUAAUUUACUUGAUCUUGACACAAUCCUACUUGGAUAACUGUGGUAAUUCUAGAGCUAAUACAUGCAUUAAAGCUCUGACCGCAAGGGAAGAGUGCACUUAUUAGAACAAAACCAAGCGGCUUCGGCUGUUUUCGGUUGACUCAUAGUAACUGAGCUGAUCGCACGGUCUUGCACCGGCGACGUGUCUUUCAAGUAUCUGCCGUAUCAACUUUCGAUGGUAGUGUAUCUGACUACCAUGGUGAUCACGCGUAACGGAGAAUAAGGGUUCGGCUCCGGAGAGUUCGCCUGAGAAAUCGCGAACACAUCUAAGGAAGGCAGCAGGCGCGAAAAUUACCCACUCUCAGCACGAGGAGGUAGUGACGAAAAAUAACGAGACCGUUCUCUUAUGAGGCCGGUCAUCGGAAUGGGUACAAUUUAAACCCUUUAACGAGUAUCUAUGAGAGGGCAAGUCUGGUGCCAGCAGCCGCGGUAAUUCCAGCU